rnacentral:antisense_RNA from 1 species
GCCGUGAAAGUCCUCGAUUCUUUGUCUGUCGGUAGACGGCCUACGCACGGGAACGACGGACAUUUUUUCAACUAUUUGAUAUUCCCCCUUUAGCUCGCUCCCUUAAGUUGACGCCUAGGCGCCUGCUCGGGAUGACGUGGUUUUA